GUCCGACUAGCUCAGUCAGUAGAGCAUGAGACUCCUAUUCUCAGAGUCGUGGGUUCAAGCCCCACGUUGGGCG